rnacentral:lncRNA from 1 species
AAUCAUCAUUUUUUUACUUUAGAGUUUCCUAUUCAGAUACUUUGCAUUGAUACUCUUGUCCAAGAAGCUAUCCAAGCAUUUCAUGACAAUGAAAAAGUCAGUGAGCACCCACCCAUUCAGAAAGAAGGUAGAGAGGCUCCAUCAGCUCUUCAGGACUCACACAGUGUAUCUUCAGCUGCUCCAGUUUCAGGUGAACCAUUACCAGAGACGCAAGGUGAAACUGCACCUAGUAAGUAAGAUACUGAAAAGAAUCAUCCAUCAUUUACAUUAGAGA